UGAGUACAUGGACCUGCAGAAUGACC
rnacentral:piRNA from 3 species